rnacentral:lncRNA from 1 species
CAAGAGAAAGUUUGUCUCUCUUUUAAUCAUUGUCUCUUUCUCUCAUUCUCAUUUUUGUGCUUUAUAUGCAUUAUCUCAUUUUUGAAUCCUAAUAAUUCUACAAGUUAGGUGUUAUCACAGUCCCUUUUAUGUAGGUGAAGAAACUGAGACUUAGAUAAAUUAACUUGCUCCAGACCUCACAUUGAGUAAAGGUUAAUGUUUAUAGUGGAUGCAGAAUCCUCACUUCCUCCACCUUAACACUAACCAAACACACAAAAAAAUACCUAAGAAAGAGUAAACAGAUGCUAUUUUCUUUAAAUGUUAGUUUAUUUUCCUUUUCUACACUACUUGAUGUCUUUUAAGCUCUUUGUAGUUGGAUCUAUGAUCACAUUUAUUGAUAAUACAUAGUAACCCUGCCGGAAUUUGAAGGCUGGAUCAGAUGAUAUUUCAGAUUGGAAGUUCUUCUGUUUAAGCAAAGUGUUGGCCCACACCCCAACCCUAUGAGUAACUGAUCCUGAACAGUUUUCUUUGCAGACUUUCUUUCCCCCAGCUGAACCAUCACCAAGGACGGCACCACUCAAAAUCCUUCUGGAAAAAUGCCAUUCUCUGUCUAUCUCACAGAACAUCCCCAUGGAGCUGGAUAAAGUGGGUUGGAGGAGAUCCAAGAAGCUUUGCACAGAUAACUUGGACCAGGGCUCCAAGACACUAGAAACCUGCAAGAACAUUGGUGGAUACUUGAAACCUCAGGGACCAGGAACUGAGCAUAUUAAUGAGGUAAGAUCUCUUUUCUUAGUUCCUUUGGAACUUACUGGACAUCCAAG